GAUUAGAGUUUGAUCAUGGCUCAGGACGAACGCUGGCGGCGUGCUUAACACAUGCAAGUCGAACGGAAAGGCCCUGCUUUUGUGGGGUGCUCGAGUGGCGAACGGGUGAGUAACACGUGAGUAACCUGCCCUUGACUUUGGGAUAACUUCAGGAAACUGGGGCUAAUACCGGAUAGGAGCUCCUGCUGCAUGGUGGGGGUUGGAAAGUUUCGGCGGUUGGGGAUGGACUCGCGGCUUAUCAGCUUGUUGGUGGGGUAGUGGCUUACCAAGGCUUUGACGGGUAGCCGGCCUGAGAGGGUGACCGGCCACAUUGGGACUGAGAUACGGCCCAGACUCCUACGGGAGGCAGCAGUGGGGAAUAUUGCACAAUGGGCGGAAGCCUGAUGCAGCAACGCCGCGUGCGGGAUGACGGCCUUCGGGUUGUAAACCGCUUUCGCCUGUGACGAAGCGUGAGUGACGGUAAUGGGUAAAGAAGCACCGGCUAACUACGUGCCAGCAGCCGCGGUGAUACGUAGGGUGCGAGCGUUGUCCGGAUUUAUUGGGCGUAAAGGGCUCGUGGGCGGUUGAUCGCGUCGGAAGUGUAAUCUUGGGGCUUAACCCUGAGCGUGCUUUCGAUACGGGUUGACUUGAGGAAGGUAGGGGAGAAUGGAAUUCCUGGUGGAGCGGUGGAAUGCGCAGAUAUCAGGAGGAACACCAGUGGCGAAGGCGGUUCUCUGGGCCUUUCCUGACGCUGAGGAGCGAAAGCGUGGGGAGCGAACAGGCUUAGAUACCCUGGUAGUCCACGCUGUAAACGGUGGGUACUAGGUGUGGGGUCCAUUCCACGGGUUCCGUGCCGUAGCUAACGCUUUAAG
rnacentral:rRNA from 1 species